GACGAACGCUGGCGGCGUGCUUAACACAUGCAAGUCGAACGGAAAGGCCUCUUUCGGGGGGUACUCGAGUGGCGAACGGGUGAGUAACACGUGAGUAACCUGCCCUUGACUUUGGGAUAACUUCAGGAAACUGGGGCUAAUACCGGAUAGGAGCUCCUGCUGCAUGGUGGGGGUUGGAAAGUUUCGGCGGUUGGGGAUGGACUCGCGGCUUAUCAGCUUGUUGGUGGGGUAGUGGCUUACCAAGGCUUUGACGGGUAGCCGGCCUGAGAGGGUGACCGGCCACAUUGGGACUGAGAUACGGCCCAGACUCCGACGGGAGGCAGCAGGGGGGAAUAUUGCACAAUGGGUGGAAGCCUGAUGCAGCAACGCCGUGGGCGGGAGGACGGCCUUCGGGUUGUAAAACGCUUUCGCUCAUGACGAAGCUUUGUGUGACGGUAGUGGGUAAAGAAGCACCGGCUAACUACGUG
rnacentral:rRNA from 1 species